rnacentral:rRNA from 1 species
GUUCGGAUUGCAGUCUGCAACUCGAGUGCAUGAAGCUGGAAUCGCUAGUAAUCGCGGAUCAGAAUGCCGCGGUGAAUACGUUCCCGGGUCUUGUACACACCGCCCGUCACACCAUGGGAGUCGGGAAUGCCCCGAAGCCGGUGGCCCGAUCGAGAGAAGGGAGCCGUCGAAGGCAGGCCGGAUGACUGGGGUGAAGUCGUAACAAGGUAAC